rnacentral:misc_RNA from 1 species
GCGCCAAGCAUUCAUCCCUCCCCACCGUAAGCGCCAAUUUCCCAGAUGGAUGUAUGGACAAGUCAUUCACACCCUUCUUGUGAGCCCAUACUGUCUUUAAGUGGACAAAGGGGUCGGCAUCGAAGAUGCAGACGGAGCCGUCGGCAGCGGCAGAGAGGAGGUUGCGGGGAAAGGAGAGGGAGGGAGGGGUGAAGAAGGAGAGAGAGGUGACAGAGGAGGUGUGGUGGUGGAGGGAGCCAAGGGAGGAGGCGGAAGGAAUGUCGUAUAUGUGAAUGGUAUCGUCGGAAGAACCGGAUGCGGCGG